GAAAGGCCGGGUCUUUAUCCGGCUGGACGCGCGGGGAAAGCGUGUCUCAUUUAGG
rfam:Lachnoclostridium sp. An131 An131_contig_2, whole genome shotgun sequence.